GCGAAAGUGGCGGAAUUGGCAGACGCACUACCUUGAGGUGGUAGCGGGUUUAUUCUCGUGGGGGUUCGAGUCCCCCCUUUCGCA
rnacentral:tRNA from 1 species